rnacentral:rRNA from 1 species
GCUUACGGCCAUACCACCCUGAGAACGCCCGAUCUCGUCUGAUGUCGGAAGCUAAGCAGGGUCGGGCCUGGUUAGUACUUGGAUGGGAGACCGCCUGGGAAUACCAGGUGCUGUAAGCU